UUAAAGAGAGUUUGAUCCUGGCUCAGGACGAACGCUGGCGGCGUGCCUAAUACAUGCAAGUCGAACGAACGGAGGAAGAGCUUGCUCUUCCAAAGUUAGUGGCGGACGGGUGAGUAACACGUGGGCAACCUGCCUGUAAGUUGGGGAUAACUCCGGGAAACCGGGGCUAAUACCGAAUGAUAGAAUGUGGCGCAUGCCACGCUUUUGAAAGAUGGUUUCGGCUAUCGCUUACAGAUGGGCCCGCGGUGCAUUAGCUAGUUGGUAGGGUAAUGGCCUACCAAGCAACGAUGCAUAGCCGACCUGAGAGGGUGAUCGGCCACACUGGGACUGAGACACGGCCCAGACUCCUGGGAGGCAGCAGUAGGGAAUCUUCCGCAAUGGACGAAAGUCUGACGGAGCAACGCC
rnacentral:rRNA from 1 species